UUGCUAUUUUUUUUAGUUUUCUUCCUAUUUCUGUAGUUUGCCUUAAUCUAAUGUGAUAAAACUUUUAUACAAUACUUUUUAGUUAUUUUGUGUAUAUUUAAAUUGCAGAGUAAUGAAUAUCUUAUAUUUCAUAGGGAUCAAUAUACAGGGAUAUUGCUACUCUGAGGCCCAUGCAGGAAAGUCAUAUUGUGAUUCAAAGAUGGCAAAUAAGCGCAAAAAGAUAAAAAGUUGGGUUGCAAGUUGAAAAAAAAACAUUGUAACAGCAGCUGAUAUGAAAACUGUCCUUGACUCUAGAACAGGUGUUGCUGGAUGUCAAGUCUCUAAAUGUGCUAACAACACCUCAUAACACAAACUGAUUACACACAAGUUAGAAGGAAUAAAUGAUUUUAAUGAGUUGUGAGUUGAAAAAGAUGGUAUACUACUGAGGAAAGCCUACAACAUCGGCAAGGACUGAUGAAGAUUGCACAGCAGAAUAAAAAUGAUUGCUCAUUUGGGAUUAUCUCUUGUCCUUGAUAUAUAGUUAAACAAGUGCAGAGAUAUUUUUGCCUGAGCUUUUGUUCUUUUUCAUCAAUGUUCAGAAAGAAGAAAUAUAGAAGAAUAAAGAAAAAAUUGGUAAGUUUUUGAAUAUUGAUAAAGUUAUAAAAUUUUGAGGUAAAAUUUUAGUUUUUUGCAAUUUUCUUUAAAAAAUCUACACUUGAGAAAAUGAGACAGUCUCAAAAUAUAAAAUCCUCCCUUUAAGGGAAAACUUUAGCAACUUCAAACUGCAUUGAAAAACAAA